ACAUACGACCAUAGCUGGCAGAAAGCACGGGAUCCCGUCCGCUCUCCCUUAGUUAAACUGCCAAGCGCUGGAUCAGUAGUACGGUGGGUGACCACGUGCGAAUACCCGGUGUUGUAUGUC
rnacentral:rRNA from 1 species